rnacentral:miRNA from 13 species
UGCAUCACGUGUAACCUUCCUA